rnacentral:tRNA from 1 species
GGCACGGUGGUGUGGUGGUUAGCACUCUUGCCUCACAGCAAGAAGGCCCCGGGUUCGAUUCCCGGUUGGGAUU